rnacentral:rRNA from 1 species
GACGAACCGUGCGAACGUUGUUCGGAUUCACUGGGCUUAAAGGGCGCGUAGGCGGGCCACCAAGUCCGGGGUGAAAGCCCCCAGCUCAACUGGGGAAGUGCCUUGGAUACUGGUGGUCUUGAGGAGGGUAGGGGCGUCUGGAACGCUGGGUGGAGCGGUGAAAUGCGUUGAUAUCCAGCGGAACUCCGGUGGCGAAGGCGAGGCGCUGGACCCUUCUGACGCUGAGGCGCGAAAGCCAGGGAGCAAACGGG